rnacentral:lncRNA from 7 species
AGGAAGCCAUGCUUGAUGAAAGCAGUUAGGCAAAAGAACACAUGGAAAUGUCAGUCCUCUGCUUAGAGGAGCCACAACAGGGCUGUAGUGCGUUGACACUUCAGUCUAGGACCUCAGUGGCUAUGCUCAGAAGUUGCAAGAAGAGGGAAGUGUGACCAGAGAGUUCUGUUUCUUCACACUAACCACGGACAAGAGCCUGCAAGUGGGGCAGACCUCCAGCUGUGGUGUGACUGUCACCUUUUCCCUGCAGCCAAGUAGCCUAAAUAACCAAGCUGUAUUCAUACUUUACUGUAGAUAUCUGUUUGAAAACUUGAUGUGUGCAUACACAGUGCUCCCUCACCUCUAAGAGGCAUGUUAUUGAGAUAAACUACUAAAUAUACAUAUAUUUUAUGGGUUGGAAACAAUCACAGAUACAAGGUAAGGUGAAGGUGGAGUGUGCAGUGGAAGAAACAGAAGAGUUUUGCAUAGCUUAGUUUUAGCUUGAGGAAUCUACUUUCCUACUCUCCUCUGUUGAUGAUAGUGAUGGCAGACGCUUCUUUCAGAACAAGUAUUCUGCAUUUUAACUACAUUGAAGAGGAUCCUAUCUCUCUAUUCAUUGAAUAUAUAGGAAAAAAAAAACAAGCCCAUUAAUCUCCUUAGAUUAUAGCAGGACAUUGCAAAUAAUAUUGAGCUGCACCUUUGAUUUUGGGAAACUUACUGUUCUGUGAUACGAAACCAUACAAAACAGACUGCUUACCUCUUUAGGGAGCUUUAGAAGUUUCUGAAGCUGAUUGUUAGGUUAUAAUAUAAUUUGUACAGGAAAAGUGAAGGAAAUAAUAACAUACUUUUUUUGUUCUCUAGUGGCUGGAAAAUGCUGUCUUUGUGUUAUAUAGACAUGUUUUUUUUUGAGUAAUGACUAAGUGCCUGUAACCUAAGUAUUCUUAUAUUUGUCUACAAAUUAAAAUCAAUAUUAUG